rnacentral:rRNA from 1 species
GGAAGUAAAAGUCGUAACAAGGUUUCCGUAGGUGAACCUGCGGAAGGAUCAUUGUCGUGACCCUUAAAUAAAGCGGACCGUGAACGAGUCUCUCGUGCCGUCGGGCUUCGGCUCGGCGAGGCCCCCGAGCUUCUGCGGAGGGGCCGCAAAAGAACCCACGGCGCCUUAGGCGUCAAGGAACACUUAUGUUGCCUUGCUCGGUGGAGUGCCUGGCUUGCCUUCCGUUCCCCAGCAGCAGCAAUGUUAUCUUAAUCCACACGACUCUCGGCAACGGAUAUCUCGGCUCUCGCAUCGAUGAAGAACGUAGCAAAAUGCGAUACCUGGUGUGAAUUGCAGAAUCCCGCGAACCAUCGAGUUUUUGAACGCAAGUUGCGCCCGAGGCCUUUUGGUUGAGGGCACGUCUGCCUGGGCGUCACGCCAAAAGACACUCCUUACCAAAACAGUGGAGGGACGUGGUGUUUGGCUCCCCGUGCCGCAGGGCGCGGUGGGCCGAAGUUGGGGCUGCCGGCGAACCGUGUCGGGCACAGCACGUGGUGGGCGACAUUCAGUUGUUCUCGGUGCAGCGCCUCGGCACGCGACCAGCUUAUUGGCCCUGAGGACCCAUUGAGCACCGCAGCGCAGGACGCUUCGGACCGCGACCCCAGGUCAGUCGGGACUACCCGCUGAGUUUAAGCAUAUCAAUAAGCGGAGGA